GGGAAUCUUCGGCAAUGGACGAAAGUCUGACCGAGCAACGCCGCGUGAGUGAAGAAGGUUUUCGGAUCGUAAAACUCUGUUGUUAGAGAAGAAAGUGCGUGAGAGUAACUGUUCACGUUUCGACGGUAUCUAACCAGAAAGCCACGGCUAACUCCGUGCCAGCAGCCGCGGUAAUACGGAGGGAGCUAGCGUUAUUCGGAAUUACUGGGCGUAAAGCGCACGUAGGCGGUUUCUUAAGUCUGAUGUGAAAGCCCCCGGCUCAACCGGGGAGGGUCAUUGGAAACUGGUUGACUUGAGUGCAGAAGAGGGAAGUGGAAUUCCAUGUGUAGCGGUGAAAUGCGUAGAGAUAUGGAGGAACACCAGUGGCGAAGGCGGCUUCCUGGUCUGCAACUGACACUGAGGCGCGAAAGCGUGGGGAGCA
rnacentral:rRNA from 1 species